rnacentral:rRNA from 1 species
GAACGCUGGCGGCGUGCCUAAUACAUGCAAGUCGAGCGAACAGACGAGGAGCUUGCUCCUCUGACGUUAGCGGCGGACGGGUGAGUAACACGUGGAUAACCUACCUAUAAGACUGGGAUAACUUCGGGAAACCGGAGCUAAUACCGGAUAAUAUAUUGAACCGCAUGGUUCAAUAGUGAAAGACGGUUUUGCUGUCACUUAUAGAUGGAUCCGCGCCGCAUUAGCUAGUUGGUAAGGUAACGGCUUACCAAGGCAACGAUGCGUAGCCGACCUGAGAGGGUGAUCGGCUACACUGGAACUGAGACACGGUCCAGACUCCUACGGGAGGCAGCAGUAGGGAAUCUUCCGCAAUGGGCGAAAGCCUGACGGAGCAACGCCGCGUGAGUGAUGAAGGUCUUCGGAUCGUAAAACUCUGUUAUUAGGGAAGAACAAAUGUGUAAGUAACUAUGCACGUCUUGACGGUACCUAAUCAGAAAGCCACGGCUAACUACGUG